rnacentral:rRNA from 1 species
ACAACUUUCAACAACGGAUCUUUUGGCUCUUGCAUCGAUGAAGAACGCAGCGAAAUGCGAUAAGUAAUGUGAAUUGCAGAAUUCAAGUGAAUAAUCGAAUCUUUGAAACGCACCUUGCGCUUCUUGGUAUUCCGAGGAACAUGCCUGUUUGAGUGUCAUUAA